ensembl:lincRNA
AGUGAAGCCCAGCCUCUAUCUGUCAGUCGAAGCUGGAUGAAGUCGGAAUUGCGGUCAGUGUUCCUCUGCUGUGCAGGAGAUAGGCUCGCACGGGAGUGUCUGGCAGAUGUAAAUAACAUCUGCAAAACAUCACGGACGCAUCCACGCAGCACAUGUCAUUAUCUCACGUUAUAGGAGCUGGCAGGACGGAAAGAAUGAAGGAGCAGCUGUGGAUGUGCAGAAAAUAGUAGCAUAUUCAGAGAAAUCAUAAACCAAGCCUUUUUUAUUUUUUAAAGCAGGUAUGACUCACAUAUUUUCCUUUUGAAGAACCUGGUUGUUCUUUGGGGAGGGACUAACUCCACGGGCAGUAAAUUCAGGAAAUACAGUCUCCUCGCCUGGAAAAUCUACAGUGCCUGUGUACAUUUUAAAAAGGGGAGGGCUGGGGAUUUAGCUCAGCGGCACAGCGCCUGCCUGGCAAGCGCGACGUCGUGAGUUCGAUUCCCGGUACCCGGGAGGGCAAACAGGGUAGGAAGAAAAAGAGUUUGAUUUUCACCGGCCUGGAGUUUCCCGCGGAGAUGCGCGCGCGGCCCGGUCCUUGACCCUCACUCCGCGCCCGGGUGCCCCGCGGCCGGUCCGCGCGGCUCUGCAGCACCGCCGCCUUCCGGAAGCGCCAGCCGGCGUGGGGCGAGCGCGUCAGAAUCAGAAGGUGACUUCAGGCGAGGCACCGGUUAGGAUCCAGGCGAGAAGCCGGGCAGCGGCCGGCCCAUUCUCUUGCCCAGAUGCUUGUGGAUCUGUGCAGAUGUGGCUUCAAAAGCCGGGUCACAAAGGGCUGCAGACCUGGGGAAAAGCAGGCAGAGCUAGGAAGAAAAGAAAGCGCAGGGACAAAAAGCAUCCCUGGCUCGUCCGUCUCUCGGCCACGCCCCCCUCGGGGUACCGCGGUGACAGUCUGUUUAUAUUUCGUUGCCUUUGAGACUGCGCGUGUUCGGGGCGCUGGCGUGGACUGCUUUGGGGACUGCGGAGGAAACAGACCCUGGAGACCAGAACCGGAGCGCGGAGAGCGCGGGGCGCCGGCGCGGCAGCCCCCGCCCCGUCUGCGAGGAGCAAGUCUCAUCGCGGCGCCGACGUCUCUAGCCUCCCUCGAAACUGUGCAAACCGCGCUUGGAGCAGAGAGCAGCUCUAGCUUCUCAGAGCCUUGGCGGGCGGAGCUCCGGGCUCGAGGCUGCGGGGUGAGGGCGUUUCCUGUGCUCCUCUGCCUUCCUCCCCUCCCCCUCCUCCCUCUCCCCUCCCUCCCUUCCUCCCUCCCUCCCUCCCUUUUUUUCUCUUUCUCUGUUUUUGUCUUCUGGAGACAGAGUUUCACUAUGGGGACAGGCUGGCCUGGAACUCAGAGCCAUCUCCUGCCUCAGCCUCCCUAGUGCUGGGAUUACAGGUGAGCGCCACCGCACCUGGCUCACAUGACUUCUUCAGCUGAAGCAAAUGUCAGCAUGAGAACUGUAAUCCAAGGAGAGCUGCACAAAGAGACGGGAAUGCUAUAUAGUAAAAAUCCUGGAACAAGGUGAAAGCAGUGUCCAGAGGAAAGGUAUCGCUUGAAAAUAUUAGAAACCGAUGUAAAAAUGGAUUAGUAGUGAACGUUUUAACCUAAGAAAGAUGAAAAAGAAUAACAUAAUAACAUCAGAGACUAGGAAAAAGGGCUGGGGAGCCAGGUGUAGCUGCACAUGCCUGUAGUCCCAGCGUUCAGGAGGCUGAGGCAGGAGGAUCCUUGUGAGUUUGAGACCAGUCUGCACUACAAAGUGAGCUCCAGGCUGGUCUGAACUGCACAGCAAGACCCUGUCUCAAAAAGACCCAAAAAAAAAAAAAAAAAAUGUGGGGGGCGCUGGGGAUAUAGCUCCCAGGCACAGAGCUUAUCUGGCAAGUGCAAGGUCCUGAGUUUGAUUCUCAGUGCCAAAAAUUUUAAAAAUUAAAAAACCUUAUAAAAAUAAAAUAACAUAAGUGCCUACCUUGUAAGUGCAAGGCCCUGAGUUUGAUUCCCGGGACAAAAUAAAAUAAACUGAAAAGGGCUGAAUUAAGUCAAGUGAAAAAACAAUCAAUGAACUAGAAAUGAAAUAGUGGAGCUGGGCGUGGUGGUGCAUGCAGGCCUCUAACCCAGCAUUCAGGAGGCUGAGGCAGGAAGAUCACCAUGUGUUCAAGGCCAGCCAGGGCUACAUAGUGAGUUGGAGGCCAACCUGUAUACACUACAAAGCAAGACCCUGCCUGAAAAAAAAAAAAAAACAAAGAAACAGAAAUAGACUUGAUUACUUUUCACAUGUGGAAGUUGAGGCUUAGAGGGCUCCCUAACUUUCUGAGGGCCAACAGGUAGCGAGGGGGCAGGCUAGGCCCGCCCUGCUCUCUGGGUGUGGCCAAGAGGCCCUCUUGGCCCUGGCGCAACUGCAGGCAGUGCCCGGGGACCCCUGGGGGGAUUCGCUCUUCUCAGCUGCCUGACCUGGGAAGGCCGUACGUAGGUCGCCAAGCCCAGCCAAGGUCUCUGCUAUGAGGCGCCCGGGACUGCCUGGUCCCUCCAAGUGACACAGCCAGCGAUCACCUGGUUGCGGUUGGGCUGGGACUUUCCUGGUUUGGGCACGAAAUUCCCAUGUCCUGGGAACCCCCUCAGCCCCGGGCACCCUGCAUGGCUCCUUCCUCCUGGGUCGCUCCCCAGGCUUGGGGCUUCCGGAACAUUCUGGCAGGAGGACGGGCCAGGCUGAGAAAGGGCCAAGCUGUCACCUGCACCACCUCCAGAGGGGGAGGAUUCCUGGUCCCCCUUGGGCAUGUGGCCCAAGAAGUGGAUUUUCCCUAGGGGAAUUUUUAUGCACACUGGAAGUUCAGAGAAUCAACCUUUCUCACUUGUAAAAUUCCAGGCCCAGGUCGGGAUCAGGAAACCAUGCUGCCGGGCGUGGUGGUGCAUGCCUGUAAUCCCAGCACUCAGGAGGCUGAGGCAGGAGGAUUUUUGCGAGUUUGAGGCUAGCCUGGACUACAAAGUGAGGUCAAGUCCAGCCUGAACUGCACAUCGAGACCCUGUCUCAAAAAGCCAAAAAAAAAAAGAGAAAAUCUCCACAAAAAUUUUGUCCCUGGGGAAGCCAUUCUUGAGGAUAUUUUUAAUUUUUAAUUAAUUAAUUAUUUAUUUAUAUUUUUGGUUUGUUUUUUUUUCCUGGUACCGGGAAUCGAGCUCACCACCUUGUACUUGCCAGGCAGGCGCUGUGCCGCUGAGCUAAAUCCCCAGCCCCUCUUGAGGAUAUUUUUUAGGACCCCAAUUUAAAAACCUCCUAGUAAGGACUUCUCAGUAGCUUUUAGAAUUUAGUAUCUGAAAAACAGAAUAAGGAAUUUGCAUUGGGUGCAGUGGCGCAGUGCUGUAAUCCUAGCUACUCAGGAGGGUGAGACAAGAGGACAUCAAGUUCAAGGCCAGCCUGGGUGAGCUAGUAGCACCCUGUAAUACAGCUCAUCGUGAGACCCUAGGCUCAACCCCGAUUAGUAAAAAUAUAAAGGAUCGGGGAUAUAGCUCAGUGGUGCAAGCGCCUGCCUAACAAGCGCGAGGUCAUGAGUUUGAUUCCUGGUACCACAAAAAAAAUUAAUGAAUAAAUAAAAAAAAUGGGGGCUGGGGAUUUAGCUCAGCGGCAAAGCGCCUGCCUGGCAAGCGCAAGGUCGUGAGUUCAGUUCCCGGUACCGGAGAAAAACCAAAAAUAAAUAAAUAAAUAAAUAAAUAAAUAAAUAAAAAUAAUAAAAUAAAAUUUAAAAAGAACCUGACUGUUUAUUUGCAGAUCUUUCCCCUUCAUGACUUGGCUAUCUGGAAAUUCCAACAGAAAAAUUUAAUCAUGGUUACUUUUGUUUAUUUAAAGUUUUUUUUUUUUUACCCAGCUGUUCCCGUUUUCUAGGUAUCUUCCCCAAAGAGCUAAAGAUAUCAUAGUACAACACACACACACACACACACACACACACACACACACACACGCCGCAGGUUUGCAACAGCACAGCUCAUAAUAACUAAGUCCCGGAAGCAGCCCAUAUGCCCAUCAACAGAUGAAUGGAUAUUAAAAAAGUGAGAGCCGGUCAUGGUGGUGUACGCCUAUAAUCCCAGCACUCAGGAGGCUGAGGCAGGAGGAUCAUUUCGAGCUCAAGGCCAGCCUGGGCUACAAAGUGAGUUCAAAACCAGCCUGAACUGCGGAGCGAGACCCUGCCUCAAAAAGACUGCCCCCCCCACCCAAAAAAGUGAUAUUCACAUACAAUGGAGUAGUACUUGGCUAUAAAGGAGGAUAAAUCUGAGACAUUUGUAGGGAAAUGGAUGCAGCUGGAAAAUACAAUGUUAAGUGAAAUAAAUCAGACACGCACGAUUACACACCACAGGAUAGCUCUCAUUUGAGUGAGGGGAAGUACAAACAAAGAGCAGAAAGCCAGGUGUGGUGGCCCACGCCUGUAAUCCCAGCAUUUGGGAGGCUGAGGCAGGAGGAUCACUGCGAGUUCAAGACCAAUCUGGGCUACAAAGUGAGCUCAAGGCCAGCCUGAACUGCAUAGGGAGACCCUGUCUCAAAAAGAUAAACAAACAAAUAAAAACGAAGAACAGAAUAAAGGACAGAUAGAAGAAGCAAGGGGGUAGAUCUCUUGCAAAUGGGAAAUUCAGGACACUGAGGGUGCCGGGUAGGGAAGAGUUCCGGGAACCCAAGAAGCUCAGUGAACAUAAACAUUGCAUGUCAGGAACUAGAGCAGAGAAUAACAGAAAGGCAUGG